UCCGCGCGAGCAGCUAGCCGGGCUGGCUCUCGGUGUGUGCCCUUCGGAUGGUCGGCUGGAGAGGGCAGCCAGCUGGUAAGACACUCCGAGGCAACGACCGGUCUCCCUCUCCCCAGCCCGGUGUGCAGUCUGACCCAGCCCCCACGGCAGACCACCCCCAGACCUGGCGCCCGAGCCUGCGGACUGCUCUACCGCACCUGGUUCCGGCUCUGGGCCCCGGGCCCGUGGCUGCCAGGGGCCGCCGGGAAGGGAGGAUGCGCGCGACUGGGGUGCGCCUGGCUCGCGGCACCCUCCUCCCGCAGUGGUCGGUAAGAGAGUUUGGUCUUCCACAACUGAGUUUCCCCAAAAGAUGCCGUGCUGUUCUGAUAGACUUUAGUUCUCUGACUUCUGUAGACAAGACAGAUACUGUAAAGACAGCAAAGAACAAACAGAAUGGCAGAUUGCUAAUGUUUGAUCCAAAGGAAAAAGUGAUGAUUGAAUCAAACAAAGCAAUGUCAGAGUAAGAAGAUGUUUUUGAUUGUGUAGCUGAUCUCUCCUAUGCCUUUUAAGCAAUUAGAACUA
rnacentral:lncRNA from 1 species